rnacentral:rRNA from 1 species
CACCAGCCCCUCGAGUGGUGGGGAUGAUUAUUUGGCCUAAAGCGUCCGUAGCCGGCCGGGUAAGUUUCCCGUUAAAUCCAGCGUCUCAAGCGUUGGACUGCGGGAAAUACUGCCUGGCUAGAGAGUGGGAGGGGUCAGCGGUAUUCUGGGGGUAGGGGCAAAAUCCUUUGAUCCCCGGAGGACCACCAGCGGCGAAGGCUGCUGACUAGAACACGUCUGACGGUCAGGGACGAAAGCUGGGGUAGCGAACCGGAUAGAUACCCCGGGGUAGUCCCAGCCGUAAACGAUGCAUGCUAGGUGUUGGGUGGCCACGAGCCACCCCAGUGCCGCGAGGGAAGCCGUUAAGCAUGCCGCCUGGGAAGUACGAUCGCAAGAUUAGAAACUUAAAGGAAUUGGGCGGGGGAGCACCACCAGGCGUGAAGCCUGCGUUU